GCAUCCACAGGUCUUGACCACCAUGUUGCGAUGCUUCUUUAGUAUCACGUUGUUGUUGUCAUCGUAGAAGAGUACAGAGAUGGGACUGAGCUUGGUGGGUGCGCAGCACGCUUUGGGAACCUCAUCCGGCUUCAGAAGGUGAACCUGCCAUUGAAAACGGGUUCGUGAUCGUCGACAGGUGGACAGCGACAGCAAAGAGGAAACAACUGUCCUGGAUGAGGUCCAGUUGGAUGUGCCAUUGGAUGAUUUGCCAGAUGUUCCACAGCUGCCAGACCUCCUUGAUGUCCAG